CCAGACUCCUACGGGAGGCAGCAGUGGGGAAUAUUGCACAAUGGGGGAAACCCUGAUGCAGCAACGCCGCGUGAGUGAAGAAGUAUUUCGGUAUGUAAAGCUCUAUCAGCAGGGAAGAAGAUGACGGUACCUGAUUAAGAAGCCCCGGCUAACUACGUGCCAGCAGCCGCGGUAAUACGUAGGGGGCAAGCGUUAUCCGGAUUUACUGGGUGUAAAGGGAGCGCAGACGGCAGUGCAAGUCUGGAGUGAAAGCCCGGGGCCCAACCCCGGAACUGCUCUGGAAACUGUGCGGCUGGAGUGCGGGAGGGGCAGGCGGAAUUCCUGGUGUAGCGGUGAAAUGCGUAGAUAUCAGGAGGAACACCGGCGGCGAAGGCGGCCUGCUGGACCGCGACUGACGUUGAGGCUCGAAAGCGUGGGGAGCAAACAGGAUUAGAUACCCGAGUA
rnacentral:rRNA from 1 species